ensembl:miRNA
UGGCCCAGGGAACCAGCUGGGGCUUCCCCUCUGCAGAGGCUCUAACUGGCUUUCCCUGCAG